rnacentral:rRNA from 1 species
AUUGAACGCUGGCGGCAGGCCUAACACAUGCAAGUCGAGCGGAUGAAGGGAGCUUGCUCCUGGAUUCAGCGGCGGACGGGUGAGUAAUGCCUAGGAAUCUGCCUGGUAGUGGGGGAUAACGUCCGGAAACUGGCGCUAAUACCGCAUACGUCCUGAGGGAGAAAGUGGGGGAUCUUCGGACCUCACGCUAUCAGAUGAGCCUAGGUCGGAUUAGCUAGUUGGUGGGGUAAAGGCCUACCAAGGCGACGAUCCGUAACUGGUCUGAGAGGAUGGUCAGUCACACUGGAACUGAGACACGGUCCAGACUCCUACGGGAGGCAGCAGUGGGGAAUAUUGGACAAUGGGCGAAAGCCUGAUCCAGCCAUGCCGCGUGUGUGAAGAAGGUCUUCGGAUUGUAAAGCACUUUAAGUUGGGAGGAAGGGCAGUAAGUUAAUACCUUGCUGUUUUGACGUUACCAACAGAAUAAGCACCGGCUAACUUCGUG